GAGAAGAGUUAAGGAACAAAGAAACUGCUAAUAUCUAAAUCUGUGGUUAAACUCCACAGUCUACUCAA
rnacentral:tRNA from 1 species